UGGUAGAUGCACCCUGAUAACUAAAUCUCCCCCUAGUCGGACAAAACCGCUGGGGGUUUUUUCU
rnacentral:sRNA from 14 species